AUUUUUACAGAGAGAUUCUUCUUAUGUUGAUUCUGCUACUAAUAUGCUACGUCAGCAGCAAGAUUGUGACAAAAGCAGUGACACAAUUAUAUCAAAGGAAAGUUACAAUAAUUGUGACGAUAGUAAUACCAAAAAAAACAUUCUAUGCAAUGAAGAUAUAAAUAUACUAAAAAAUUAUCCAAAAAUAUCUAUAUUUUAUUUAUUAUACAAAAUAUUAAAAUUUUUACAUUAUAUAAACGCAAUUCAAUAUAAGUUCAAAGACAAUAAUAAAAAAAAAAAUAAAAAAUUUUGUUCUAAUGUAGAAAAUAAUGAUUAUAAUAUAUUGAAACAAAAUAAUUUAGUUGUAACUUAUAACGAUUUAAAAAAACCAAAUUUAAAAAUUUAUAUUAAAAAAAAUUUAAGUAUUUGUUUAUUUUCUUAUAAAAAAAAACAUUCAACAUAUUAUAAUAUGAUGAGAUACAAUCAUUUUGAGGAAUAUUAUUACAAUUUAUAUUUAACUGUGGAACGCUGUAAAACAUAUAUUUACGAAGCCGAUGUAAGAGACGCCAAAGGUAAAAGGUUAAAACUACAAGAUGUAUUGAAAAAUUGCCACGUUAACAACAGAAGCUUACUUUUUCUUUUAUUACAUAAUUGCUAUACUAAUAAAACACUUUUAACUAGAAAAACAAGGAGCCUAUUGUUAAAAUUAACUAAAAAAAUAGAAAAGAUAAGUACAGAUAAAUCGAAUCUUAUAGAUUAUUUAACAACAUACAAAGAAUAUCAUAUAUUACAUAAUAAAUAUAAUAUUCCAAAAAUAGAUAUACAAAAAUAUUUUACUUUUUAUUACGAUAUAUUUAAUAAAAAUAAUAAUAAUGAUAUAACUAAUAUAUCUGAUCAAAAUUUAACUUUUUCAUGUCCUUUCUGUAUUCAAAUAUUUCAUUACAAAAAUGAGUUGUUAAGUCACAUAUCCAUUUUUCAUAAUAUAAAUCAAAGUGUUUCUGAUAUGUUUUUUUUUUUUUCAAAAAAUAAGCAUAUAAAACAUAAUAAUUUAAGUAAUAUUUUAAAUAUAAAAAAUACAAUGGAAAAUAUACCACAUAUAAUAAAAUCAAAUAAUAAUUGGAAAAAUAAAAUAAUAGAAACGCCAUACACGAAUGAAAAACUAAUAACCGGUGUAGACAAUGUAAUAAAUAAAUCAUCCAUGUUAAACUCUCAUCCCGUUACACAAAAGCAUAUUAAAUUUGUAGAUGAUCAUGUACAUCUGAGUAGUAUCCAAAACGUCUUUCAAAAAAAUGUUCAACUUGAACAAAGUCAAUAUGAUAAAUCGUAUUUAAAACAACAAAAAAAUGAUAUAAAUAGUAAAGAGUUCAAUUUAGAUGAUCAAUUAAAAAAAAGUAAAAAAUUUAUUGAAAUGGAUCCCAUGUUAGUACAUGACAAUAAUGUACCCAAAUGCAACAACUUAUAUACAAAAAAACAUAACAACAAUCAUAUAAAACAUUUUUUAGGAAGGUUCAAAAUAAAAAAUACUUUAAGAACUGUUUAUAUGUAUCAUAUUGCGAUCAUUAUGCAGCUUUUUAUGUCACAAAAAAAAUUAGAAAAAACAAACAAACAAACAAAAAAUAUAUAUUAUAGUAAUAGUAGUACACUUGCAGAAAAAGAAAAAAAAAGUGGCAAUGAUGCUUUACAAACAAAAGAACAGCAGGAAUGCAUAAUGAAUAGGAACAAAAGGUGUAAUUGUAUCGAAAAAAAAAAUAAAAGUCAAGAUAAAAUUGGGGGUAGAAUGGGUAAUACUGAACGAGAUUUUAAGAAGGCUACCAAAAAGCGCUCGUCAAAUUGUAAUAACUGCAGCAAAGAAUGUGCUCGAAAAAAAACAAAAAUAUCAUUUAAACAAAAGGAAUCAUUCGAAUGUAUAAAUUUGUAUGAACCAAAGGUUACAAAUAAAAAAUUGCUAGCUCGAUAUAAAAAUAAUAUGAAUUAUUGUUAUUCUAUGGAAAACAUUUUGAAUAAAAAAGAUUUUAUAAAAAACAAAUUAAACAAGUUUCGUUUAAUGUAUGAAUUAAAAAAUAAAAUUAAUAAUACACCUUAUAAAAAAAAAGAAUGGGUUAAAGCGAACAAUAUAUUGAUAAACCAAUUUCAGAUGGACAUAUGUAUGUAUAUAAAAAAAAAAUUAUUUAUUUAUUUUAAAAACAAUAUUGUUAACUACUUUUUUAUAUUAUUAAAUGAAAACCUAGCUAGAUGUAUAAUAAAUUA
rnacentral:lncRNA from 1 species